GACACGUGUUCCAGUUGAUUAGAAGGAGCAGACAGUCCAGAGCUCUUCUUCAUCUGGUUUCUCUUCGCCAGGACUGAGACUACCUCCUGGGCUCCCUGAAGUCAUGAAGACUGUUUUGCUAACUUUGGCUAUACUGCUCCUCUCAUCCCAGGUCAUUCCAGGCAGCACUGAAAAAUGCUGGAAUCUUCAUGGCCACUGCCGUGACACAUGUUCCAGGAAUGAAAAAGUCUAUGUUUUCUGCCUGAGUGGUAAACUGUGCUGUGUGAAGCCCAAGUUUCAGCCAAAUACAUCGCCACGGUUAAUUAAUGCUUGAAGCCGAGGGCACAAAAAUGGAGAUAACGUUGCCCUGAGCCUGUCCUCAGCUGAUUCCUGGGUUUCAUUAAAACACUUUUGGCUGA